rnacentral:rRNA from 1 species
ACAGAGGGUGCGAGCGUUAAUCGGAAUUACUGGGCGUAAAGCGCACGUAGGCGGCUUGGUAUGUCGGGUGUGAAAUCCCCGGGCUCAACCUGGGAACUGCAUCCGAAACUGCCUUGCUAGAGUAUGGGAGAGGGAAGUGGAAUUUCCGGUGUAGCGGUGAAAUGCGUAGAUAUCGGAAGGAACAUCAGUGGCGAAGGCGACUUCCUGGCCUGUUCUUGACGCUGAGGCGCGAAAGCUAGGGGAGCAAACGGGA